rnacentral:rRNA from 1 species
GUCUAUGGCCAUGUCACCCUGAACAAGCCCCAUCCUGUCUGAUCUUGGAAGCUAAGCAGGGUCGAGCCUGGUUAGUACUUGGAUGGGAGACCACCUAGGAAGACCAGGUGCUGUAGGUG